rnacentral:rRNA from 1 species
GCAGCCGCCGCGGUAAUACGUAGGGUGCGAGCGUUAAUCGGAAUUACUGGGCGUAAAGCGUGCGCAGGCGGUUGUGUAAGACAGGUGUGAAAUCCCCGGGCUUAACCUGGGAACUGCGCUUGUGACUGCACAGCUAGAGUAUAGCAGAGGGGGGUGGAAUUCCACGUGUAGCAGUGAAAUGCGUAGAGAUGUGGAGGAACACCGAUGGCGAAGGCAGCCCACUGGGCCAAUACUGACGCUCAUGCACGAAAGCGUGGGGAGCAAACAGGAUUAGAUACCCCUGUAGUCCCUGUCUCUUAUAC